rnacentral:rRNA from 1 species
AGGCAGCAGUAGGGAAUAUUGCGCAAUGGGCGAAAGCCUGACGCAGCCAUGCCGCGUGGAUGAUGAAGGCCUUCGGGUCGUAAAGUCCCUUUCUGAGGGAAGAACAAGCAGUGUAGGAAAUGACAUUGCCCUGACGGUACCUCAGGAAUAAGCAACGGCUAACUCCGUGCCAGCAGCCGCGGUAAUACGAAGGGUGCAAGCGUUACUCGGAAUUACUGGGCGUAAAGCGUGCGUAGGUGGUCGUUUAAGUCCGUUGUGAAAGCCCUGGGCUCAACCUGGGAACUGCAGUGGAUACUGGGCGACUAGAGUGUGGUAGAGGGUAGCGGAAUUCCUGGUGUAGCAGUGAAAUGCGUAGAGAUCAGGAGGAACAUCCAUGGCGAAGGCAGCUACCUGGACCAACACUGACACUGAGGCACGAAAGCGUGGGGAGCAAACAGGAUUAGAUACCCUGGUAGUCCACGCCCUAAACGAUGCGAACUGGAUGUUGGGUGCAAUUUGGCACGCAGUAUCGAAGCUAACGCGUUAAGUUCGCCGCCUGGGGAGUACGGUCGCAAGACUGAAACUCAAAUGAAUUGACGG